CAGCUUCAGCAGCACGUAUGCUAAAAAUUGGAAUGAUACAGACAAUAUUAGCAUGGCCCCUGCACAAGGAUGACACAUAAAUUCCUGAAGCGUUCCAUAAUUUU
ensembl:snRNA U6 U6 spliceosomal RNA